GAUGAACGCUGGCGGCGUGCCUAAUACAUGCAAGUCGAGCGAACAGACGAGGAGCUUGCUCCUCCGACGUUAGCGGCGGACGGGUGAGUAACACGUGGAUAACCUACCUAUAAGACUGGGAUAACUUCGGGAAACCGGAGCUAAUACCGGAUAAUAUAUUGAACCGCAUGGUUCAAUAGUGAAAGACGGUUUUGCUGUCACUUAUAGAUGGAUCCGCGCCGCAUUAGCUAGUUGGUAAGGUAACGGCUUACCAAGGCAACGAUGCGUAGCCGACCUGAGAGGGUGAUCGGCCACACUGGAACUGUGACACGGUCCAGACUCCUACGGGAGGCAGCAGUAGGGAAUCUUCCGCAAUGGGCGAAAGCCUGACGGAGCAACGCCGCGUGAGUGAUGAAGGUCUUCGGAUCGUAAAACUCUGUUAUUAGGGAAGAACAAAUGUGUAAGUAACUAUGCACGUCUUGACGGUACCUAAUCAGAAAGCCACGGCUAACUACGUG
rnacentral:rRNA from 1 species